AUUGAACGCUGGCGGCAGGCUUAACACAUGCAAGUCGAGCGGAGAUGAGGUGCUUGCACCUUAUCUUAGCGGCGGACGGGUGAGUAAUGCUUAGGAAUCUGCCUAUUAGUGGGGGACAACAUUCCGAAAGGAAUGCUAAUACCGCAUACGUCCUACGGGAGAAAGCAGGGGAUCUUCGGACCUUGCGCUAAUAGAUGAGCCUAAGUCGGAUUAGCUAGUUGGUGGGGUAAAGGCCUACCAAGGCGACGAUCUGUAGCGGGUCUGAGAGGAUGUACCGCCACACGGGGACUGAGAGACGGCCCAGACUCCUACGGGAGGCAGCAGUGGGGAAUAUUGGACAAUGGGGGGAACCCUGAUCCAGCCAUGCCGCGUGUGUGAAGAAGGCCUUAUGGUUGUAAAGCACUUUAAGCGAGGAGGAGGCUACUGAGACUAAUACUCUUGGAUAGUGGACGUUACUCGCAGAAUAAGCACCGGCUAACUCUGUGCCAGCAGCCGCGGUAA
rnacentral:rRNA from 1 species